rnacentral:rRNA from 1 species
CCUAAUACAUGCAAGUCGAGCGAACAGACGAGGAGCUUGCUCCUCUGACGUUAGCGGCGGACGGGUGAGUAACACGUGGGUAACCUACCUAUAAGACUGGGAUAACUCCGGGAAACCGGGGCUAAUACCGGAUAACACAUGAAACCGCAUGGUUUCAUGAUGAAAGACGGUUUUGCUGUCACUUAUAGAUGGACCCGCGGCGUAUUAGCUAGUUGGUAAGGUAACGGCUUACCAAGGCAACGAUACGUAGCCGACCUGAAAGGGUGAUCGGCCACACUGGAACUGAGACACGGUCCAGACUCCUACGGGAGGCAGCAGUAGGGAAUCUUCCGCAAUGGGCGAAAGCCUGACGGAGCAACGCCGCGUGAGUGAUGAAGGUCUUCGGAUCGUAAAACUCUGUUAUUAGGGAAGAACAAGGAUGUAAGUAACUAUGCAUCCGUUGACGGUACCUAAUCAGAAAGCCACGGCUAACUACGUGCCAGCAGUCGCGGUAAUACGUAGGUGGCAAGCGUUAUCCGGAAUUAUUGGGCGUAAAGCGCGCGUAGGCGGUUUUUUAAGUCUGAUGUGAAAGCCCACGGCUCAACCGUGGAGGGUCAUUGGAAACUGGAAAACUUGAGUGCAGAAGAGGAAAGUGGAAUUCCAUGUGUAGCGGUGAAAUGCGCAGAGAUAUGGAGGAACACCAGUGGCGAAGGCGACUUUCUGGUCUGCAACUGACGCUGAUGUGCGAA